AGAGUUUGAUCCUGGCUCAGAUUGAACGCUGGCGGAAUGCUUUACACAUGCAAGUCGAGCGGCAGCGCGGGGCAACCUGGCGGCGAGCGGCGAACGGGUGAGUAACAUAUCGGAACGUACCCUAUCGUGGGGGAUAACGAAUCGAAAGAUUCGCUAAUACCGCAUACGACCUGAGGGUGAAAGCGGGGGAUCGCAAGACCUCGCGCGACAGGAGCGGCCGAUAUCGGAUUAGCUAGUUGGUGAGGUAAAGGCUCACCAAGGCGACGAUCCGUAGCUGGUCUGAGAGGACGACCAGCCACACUGGGACUGAGACACGGCCCAGACUCCUACGGGAGGCAGCAGUGGGGAAUUUUGGACAAUGGGGGAAACCCUGAUCCAGCCAUUCCGCGUGAGUGAAGAAGGCCUUCGGGUUGUAAAGCUCUUUCGGCAGGAACGAAAGGUGCGGGCUAAUACCCUGUAUCAAUGACGGUACCUGAAGAAGAAGCACCGGCUAACUACGUGCCAGCAGCCCGCGGUUAAUACCUUAGGGAUGCGAGCGUUAAUCGGAAUUACUGGGGCGUAAAGCGUGCGCAAGCGGUUUGUAAGACAGAUGUGAAAUCCCCGGGCUUAACCUGGGAACUGCGUUUGUGACUGCAAGACUUGAGUGCGGCAGAGGGGGGUGGAAUUCCACGUGUAGCAGUGAAAUGCGUAAGAUGUGGAGGAACACCGAUGGCGAAGGCAGCCCCCUGGGUCGACACUGACGCUCAUGCACGAAAGCGUGGGUAGCAAACAGGAUUAGAUACCCUGGUAGUCCACGCCCUAAACGAUGCCAACUAGGUGUUGGGGAAGGAGACUUCCUUAGUACCGUAGCUAACGCGUGAAGUUGGCCGCCUGGGGAGUACGGUCGCAAGAUUAAAACUCAAAGGAAUUGACGGGGACCCGCACAAGCGGUGGAUGAUGUGGAUUAAUUCGAUGCAACGCGAAAAACCUUACCUACCCUUGACAUGCCAGGAAUCCCGGAGAGAUUUGGGAGUGCUCGAAAGAGAGCCUGGACACAGGUGCUGCAUGGCUGUCGUCAGCUCGUGUCGUGAGAUGUUGGGUUAAGUCCCGCAACGAGCGCAACCCUUGUCAUUAGUUGCCAUCAUUUAGUUGGGCACUCUAAUGAGACUGCCGGUGACAAACCGGAGGAAGGUGGGGAUGACGUCAAGUCCUCAUGGCCCUUAUGGGUAGGGCUUCACACGUCAUACAAUGGUCGGUACAGAGGGUUGCCAAGCCGCGAGGUGGAGCCAAUCCCAGAAAGCCGAUCGUAGUCCGGAUCGGAGUCUGCAACUCGACUCCGUGAAGUCGGAAUCGCUAGUAAUCGUGGAUCAGCAUGUCACGGUGAAUACGUUCCCGGGUCUUGUACACACCGCCCGUCACACCAUGGGAGUGGGUUUCACCAGAAGUAGGUAGCCUAACCGCAAGGAGGGCGCUUACCACGGUGGGAUUCAUGACUGGGGUGAAGUCGUAACAAGGUA
rnacentral:rRNA from 1 species